UACGUAGGGGGCAAGCGUUGUCCGGAUUUAUUGGGCGUAAAGAGCGUGUAGGCGGCUGGGUAGGUCCGUUGUGAAAACUCGAGGCUUAACCUCGAGAUGUCAUCGGAAACCAUUUGGCUAGAGUCCGGAAGAGGAGAGUGGAAUUCCUGGUGUAGCGGUGAAAUGCGGCAGAUAUCAGGAAGAACACCAAUGGCGAAAGCAGCUCUCUGGGAACGGUACUGACGGCUGAGACGGCGAAAGCCGUGGGGAG
rnacentral:rRNA from 1 species